GUCCCCAUGGAGUAAUGGCAACUCAGCAGGUUCUCAACCUGUAGUCGCGGGUUCAAUUCCCGCUGGGGGUACCA
rnacentral:tRNA from 1 species